GGUCUCAGGUCAGGCGAGACAACCCGCUGAAUUUAAGCAUAUUAAUAAGCGGAGGAGAAGAAACUAACCAGGAUUCCCCCAGUAGCGGCGAGUGAAGCGGGAAAAGCCCAAGCCUGGAAUCUCCGAUGCAUCGCAUCGGCGAAUUGUAGUCUGGAGAAGGGCCAUCCCCGAGGCGGUCCUCCCAAUGUUGCCGAGGAAAGGCGCGCCGGAGAGGGUGAUAGCCCCGUGCACGGGAACGACCGGCCGAGGGAAAUGAGGCCACUUUGGAGAGUCGGGUUGUUUGGGAAUGCAGCCCAAAGAGGGUGGUAAACUCCAUCUAAGGCUAAAUACUGGCACAAGACCGAUAGCGAACAAGUACCGUGA
rnacentral:rRNA from 1 species